rnacentral:antisense_RNA from 1 species
UGGGGAGACUAGAUCGAUGGGGCUGCACAGAGGUGGCACAGUUGUGCCAGAGGUAGCAGGGACAGAAGGGCUGGCAAGGGAGGGUCCAGGGCUAGGGGAUUCGGAGUGGCUUCAGGCGGACCACGUGGCUACCUUUUUUUCCAGGGCCAGACUUUGGCAGCGUGUAAGGUCUGAGGACAGGGGCACCGGAGGCCGAGGAUGAGAGGCCAGUGCCUGUUUCCAGGCAGCCAGGGCCUCAGAAACUCCGGCCGGAGCACUCACCCGUCGGUGGAGGCCGUUACCAGGGCCACCUUAUUCGCGAGCGGGUCCCGGCGGGUCAUCCCGGAGCUGGCCAUCCGCACCGAAUUCCAAGCCCGGGCACAGAGGCCUAGCAGCCCCGUCUUGUGCAUGGCUCAGACCAGCAAGUGCCACUUCGGAUAAACCCUUUGGACUCCUAACUCCAAUCAGGUGUCUGCUUUGUUGAGGACUCACAGACACAGUCUCCUUUCUUCAAGAUCUUUACAAUGCAAGACCUCACUAACACACAGGGGAUGGUCUCCCAGAGGGUCUGUGCUGUUCCUUCACCCAGAACAUCAAGAUGCACUUAAGUAAAGAUCCUCUGUUCUACGGUUCCUGCUAGCUGAGCUAUUCCAUGGGGGCUUCAGCAGAAAUUCCAAGUUGGCUUUGACAGCUAAGCCGGCUGGUGGAGCACAUCGAGUUCUGGAGGUUCAUGUGUGUUUUCAUGAAGAUCUGUCUGCCAGUAGCAGAUAAAGAGUUGUUGCCCCACUCCUCCUGGGGUCUUCUAUUUUCCUGGGAGGAAUUUCUGGAUUAACUGAACACACACACACACACACACACACCCCUUUGAAGCAUCAACAGUAAUUCUGAGUUCUUAGGGACAAUGCAGAUUAAAUCCACAAUAAGAAAGACAACUAUGGCCAGGUGCGGUGGCUCACGCCUGUAAUCCCAGAACUUUGGGAGGCUGAGGCGGAUGGAUCACCUGAGGUCAGGAGUUAGAGACCAACCUGACCAACAUGGAGAAACCCCGUUUCUACUAAAAAUACAAAAUUAGCCGGGCAUGGUGGCAGGCGCCUGUAAUCCCAACUACUCAGGAGGCUGAGGCAGGAGAAUCGCUUAAACCCGGGAGGCAGAGGUUGCAGUGAGCCAAGAUCGCGCCAUUGCACUCCAGCCUGGGCAAGAAGAGCAAAACUCCAUCUCAAAAAAAAAAAA